rnacentral:rRNA from 1 species
GUUGACCUGGCGGCAGGCCUACACAUGCAAGUCGAGCGGUAACAGAGGGUAGCUUGCUACUUUGCUGACGAGCGGCGGACGGGUGAGUAAGGCUUGGGUAUCUGCCCAGUCGUGGGGGAUAACCAUUGGAAACGAUGGCUAAUACCGCAUACGCCCUACGGGGGAAAGGAGGGGAUCUUCGGACCUUUCGCGAUUGGAUGAGCCCAAGUGAGAUUAGCUAGUUGGUGAGGUAAUGGCUCACCAAGGCAACGAUCUCUAGCUGGUCUGAGAGGAUGACCAGCCACACUGGGACUGAGACACGGCCCAGACUCCUACGGGAGGCAGCAGUGGGGAAUAUUGCACAAUGGGGGAAACCCUGAUGCAGCCAUGCCGCGUGUGUGAAGAAGGCCUUCGGGUUGUAAAGCACUUUCAGUGGUGAGGAAAGGCAGGAGAUUAAUACUCUUCUGCUGUGACGUUACCCAGAAGAAGCACCGGCUACUCCGUGCCACAACCGCGGUAAUCCGGAGGGUGCAAGCGUUAAUCGAAUGACUGGGCGUAACGACGCAGC